AUAGCACAUGGGAAUGUAGUUCAAUGACAGCGUAGCCUUAACCCAUAAGAGUCGGAGGCUUUUAUUAUGAAUGAGAAAGUUGAACUCGCGGAACGAUGAACCUUACUUGCGUAGCGCAUAUAUAUAAAUAUAUAGUUGUGUAUAUGUGCUAUAUAACGUAUACAUAUCACCGUCAUCUUCGUAACACGAAGACGUAAAUCACGCGAUGACGAGUCUGGAUAUACGUCAGUAGGUAUCUUUUUGAUUUCUUCAUCUGUCACGGCAAAGUAGCACACUUAUUAUCUAUCGCAGAAAAAAUUAAUCAAAAAUUGCAAUUUAUCGAAAAUUUAUCAUUCUCUGUUGCAGAAUUAAAUAAUAAUAGCUUCUUCUAAAGAUGAUCCAUGGAAAUGAGAGAUCAAUGCCUGAAACUUAUCUAAACGAUGGCGAUAAUGAUAAGGAUUAUGCGAAACUGUAAAAUAAAAUAAUAACGCUGUUUAUUUGAUUUUAUAUAGUUUCAUCGUCAGUAUUCGCGAACGUGAUUGAACGAAAGUAUCACGCUUGCCUGAAGAUUUCGUGGAUCUCGGCAGCCCUUAGCUUGCUGUCCUUGAGUUUUGAGAAUAUUACACUCUUGACUAACAAUCUUUGGCUAACUUUUUUUAUUAGAAUGAGUUUCGCGUUCGUAGUCAGAAGAAAGACAUUGACACCUGAGAGCUGGUUGUAAAGAAGAUAAUUUAUGGAACUGCAGUGCGUGACCUAGUGCCGUUGCAAACGUUCUACCUUCGAACUAGGUCUUUCACGUUCCCAACUAAGUCCACAUCAAGUUGCAGUGAGUGUAUACAGCCCCUGCUUUCUGUAUUUGUUGUAUUAUAUACAAUUCGGUGUCAAUGACUUGGCUGGCAGAACAGAACUGGUAAUAAAAAUUCCACUACUCAUCUUCUAGAAAUUUUUAUUCCAUCAAUAACUGUAAAUUGGCAAACCAAGUGGCAGAAUAUUGAUAAAAUCAUAACUGUUGUCUUCACCAGAGAGUAAAUUCACCAAACCAAAGUUUUAAGUGUAAAAACUAGAUAAAAUGCAGGAAAUGGAAGAAACGGAAGCGGCGGAAAUGCUGGCAUAAUAUUUACACGAUAUACCAAAGGGAGAGCUUCCGUUAAAUCAGACGCCAGUGGAAGACAGAAUUAGUUAGAAGGAAAUGAUCGAGGCUAGAUUAAUAUGUACACAUGUGGACGGUAAACACCUAGCCAGUCCAGGAGAUGGUGUGGAGAGCUAAAGGAAAAUUAAUCAGUGAGCAAAAGAGAACGAAAGAGCUGGAAAAAAACGAGUGACGAGUGAAGUCUACUCAGUAGUGAGGAUUUCUGGCGAGUCAAGACUCAAGAGUGAGCGUAAAGUAAACUAGUGCACCGACCUGGUGGGCACGCAACCGCGAUGUAAGAGUAUUUUCAAGGGUUAACGAACUCCCGGUGAGCGCCAUCUUUUUCCGCGACGUCUUGUCUUACUUUAUUGGCAUAAUUUUUUUCUUCUUUCAUAAAUUUAUUUUUUUUUAUUAAUUAAUUGUUCUAAAAAUUAUUUUUUCUAUUUCUUCUUUUAUUUAAAUUAAUAUUAUUUUAAUAUUGCUGUUGUCGUUGUUGUUGUUGUUGUAAAAUAAGGAGCGCGUCGCGGAAAGUGAAGAAAUGAAGAAGAAAAAAUAAAUAUAAGGCUGCUCAACUAAUUUCACGCGAAUUAUCAUUCAAGAUAAUUAAGGGAAAAUAAUUCUAAUGGAGCUGAAGAAGAACUCUUGUUCUUAUUGCUGAAGAAAUAAUACAAGAAAUAUUAUUUAAUUAAAAUGUUUUAUGAUUAUAAAGAUAAAGGCGGCUAAACAAAACUCAUAAAGUUAUGAGCAAGGUGAAGGUAAAGGCAAACUGCAAAUUAGGUAAAAAUAAGUCUCAGCUAAGCUAAGUAGUGCAAGCGUAAGAGUGCUUCGAGAGGUCAGUAACCACUCGGCGCUCCGUUCCGUUCCGGUUACCCGUUGGUAGCUUCACGGCCAAUCGAGGGAGGGAUACUUUACCAUCACUACUCUCUCAAAGUAUUUGCUGGUUCAGAAUUAUUAUGUAAAAGCCUCCUACCAAUAUCUAUAUAUCUUCAUUGUAUUUAUAUAUAUGUAUUUAUAUAUAUUAUUCUGUUAACGGUCGCUAUUUUAACUUUUAUUUGGAUUGUCAUAAAAAUAACACUCCGGGAUUUUAUUCACUUUAUCUUUUAUUCAUUGUUAAUAUUGUUAUUAUUUUUUUAAGAUUUUAAACACUGACAAGUUUAAUGUUUUAUCGUUAACACUUAUUUACGUUAAGUAAUAUCGCCCGCAUUAAGUACCCACAUUACAUUUGCGUAAUAACACUUGAUAAAAUUUAUUUGCAAGGGUUUUUUAAUCAAUAAGUUAUUUAUGGAAUUUUGUUUUGGAGCUUGCGGUUGGUUAGCUUACGAACGCUUAGAGACUUUAACGCUUGCACGAGAAAUAUUUUUGUAUUUUUCGCCGGAGAUUUUAAUAAUUAAUGAGAG